rnacentral:sRNA from 1 species
AGGCCGGCGCGAUACUCCCUAUAACAUCCUUUUCAGUAGAUUUCAAUAUCGUGCCGGCUUUUUCAUAUGCAAAAUAACCCCGCCAUUCUGAUUGAUGGCGGGGUUCGAU